UCUUCAUUUCUCGUGCUCUCUCGCUUCUCUGACAGGUGAGAGAGUGUGGGAAAUGAGGAGA
rfam:Pristionchus pacificus strain PS312 contig1143, whole genome shotgun sequence.